rnacentral:rRNA from 1 species
GACGAACGCUGGCGGCGUGCUUAACACAUGCAAGUCGAACGGAAAGGCCCUGCUUUUGUGGGGUGCUCGAGUGGCGAACGGGUGCGUAACACGUGAGUAACCUGCCCUUGACUUUGGGAUAACUUCAGGAAACUGGGGCUACUACCGGAUAGGAGCUCCUGCUGCAUGGUGGGGGUUGGAAAGUUUCGGCGGUUGGGGAUGGACUCGCGGCUUAUCAGCUUGUUGGUGGGGUAGUGGCUUACCAAGGCUUUGACGGGUAGCCGGCCUGAGAGGGUGACCGGCCACAUUGGGACUGAGAUACGGCCCAGACUCCUACGGGAGGCAGCAGUGGGGAAUAUUGCACAAUGGGCGGAAGCCUGAGGCAGCAACGCCGCGUGCGGGAUGACGGCCUGCGGGGUGUAAACCGCUUUCGCCUGUGACGAAGCGUGAGUGACGGUAAUGGGUAAAGAAGCACCGGCUAACUACGUG